ACAAACAAACAAACAGACAGACAAAAAAACAAACAAGAAAGUAGAAGAGGAGACAUCUGUCUCAAAUCCAGGGAAGGCUUCUUCGCGUUAAUCAGAUGUUUUCUUUCUCUUCUUUGGCUUUUC
rnacentral:ribozyme from 11 species